GACGAACGCUGGCGGCGUGCUUAACACAUGCAAGUGGAGCGACGAACCGGGCUUCGGCCCGGGGCAGAGCCGCGAACGGGUGAGUAACACGUGGGUUACCUGCCCCGUUCGACAGGGACGAACCCGGGGAAACCCGGGCGUAACUACCUGAUGUGCCCUUAGGGGGAAGGAAGGACUCGGCCUCCGCAACGGAUGGGCCGCGGCGCAUUAGCUUGUUGGUGGGGUAAAGGCCGUACCAACGGCUACGAUGCGUAGCUGGUCUGAGAGGACGAUCAGCCACACUGGGACUGAGACACGGCCCA
rnacentral:rRNA from 1 species